rnacentral:rRNA from 1 species
UGGAACAUCGUAUCAGAGAGGGUGAGAAUCCCGUUCUUGGCUGGGUGAAGGCCGCGUUCGAGCCGUUCUCAAAGAGUCGGGUUGCUUGGGAGUGCAGCCCUAAGUGGGUGGUAAAUUUCAUCUAAAGCUAAAUACAUGUGGGAGACCGAUAGCGAACAAGUACCGUGAGGGAAAGAUGAAAAGAACUUUGAAAAGAGAGUUAAAAAGUACUUGAAAUUGCUGAGAACGAAGGGAUGGCGACUAGUAAUGACUCGGGCGAUCCUCGGGCUGCAGUUGUUCUGGCGUUUGUGAUUGCGUAGCUUCACUUGCGUCGGGUGUCGGCUUUGGUUCGGGAUCCGAUCGUUCGGGUCUAGGUCAGAAUGGAUUCGCAGCGGUUGAAACUGGCGGCGGGAAGGUAACUUGGACGUCAAACUCCUCGAACUUAUAGCCCGCCGUUUAGAGACUGUUGUGGAUUGAGGUGCUGAAGCGCGCGCUCUAAGCUCUUGAUGCGUCGACCGCUGUUGGGUUCGCCGCCGUUGGGGAACAAAGUUCCGUUUCGGUCGGCAGCCUGCACUCGGACGUCGCUCAUUUGUCGCGCUCGGGAUU